UUAUUAUUCUUUCCAGGACUUUGCAGAGGCAUGAUGUGAGGGAUAUUGGCCUAUAGGAAUCAGGCAAAUUCGGUGGCUUGUUCGGCUUUGGUAUGGGUACGACGAUGGCAUUCUUCCAUUCUGGAGGUAGAUGGUGGCUCCUACGGCUUCUAUGUUUGGUGAUUGUGGAAGAGAUAUGGAGGCCGCUCGUAUAUUCUUUUUGAUGAGGAUCGCUACGCCUCCACCGUGAUUGUUCCGGUUUAGGUAGAACGUAUUGAACGCUGAGAACUUAGGUACGUAUCCAUCUUUCCAAAAAGUUUCACUGAUUAUAACAAUGUGUGGGUCAUGGUAUCUUAUGUUGUAUUUAAAUUCUUGUAAUUUUGCUUUAUAAAGACUUCGGGCAUUCCAUUGGA